CCCUUAGAUGUUCUGGGCAGCACGCGCGCUACAAUGGUCUUCGCAAACGGAUGCAUUCUCGAAGGAGAAUGCCAAUCUUGGAAUCUAUGCCUUGGUCGGGACAGUUGCUUGCAAUUUUUCGACUCGAACCAGGAAUUCCUUGUAAUCGUGAUUCAUCACAUCACGAUGAAUACGUUCCUGCCCUUUGUACACACCGCCCGUCGCUCCUACCGAUCGAAGAGUUAGGUGAAUUGUUUUGAUCGAUAAGAUUUGACUAUGGUCAACUCUCGUUGUGAAAUUCUGUGAAUCUGACUGUUUAGAGGAAGGAAAAGUCGUAACA
rnacentral:rRNA from 1 species